AGAGUUUGAUCAUGGCUCAGAUUGAACGCUGGCGGCAGGCCUAACACAUGCAAGUCGAACGGUAACAGGAAACAGCUCGCUGUUUCGCUGACGAGUGGCGGACGGGUGAGUAAUGUCUGGGAAACUGCCUGAUGGAGGGGGAUAACUACUGGAAACGGUAGCUAAUACCGCAUAACGUCGCAAGACCAAAGAGGGGGACCUUCGGGCCUCUUGCCAUCGGAUGUGCCCAGAUGGGAUUAGCUAGUAGGUGGGGUAACGGCUCACCUAGGCGACGAUCCCUAGCUGGUCUGAGAGGAUGACCAGCCACACUGGAACUGAGACACGGUCCAGACUCCUACGGGACGCAGCAG
rnacentral:rRNA from 1 species